CUUUGAACCAAGUCAUGUAUUGGGCACGAUGCUUCUAUGAACCAGUCAUGUAUUGGGCACGAUGCUUCUAUCAACCAAGUCAUGUAUUGGGCACGAUGCUUCUAUCAACCAAGUCAUGUAUUGGGCACGAUGCUUCUAUCAACCAAGUCAUGUAUUGGGCACGAUGCUUCUUUGAACCAAGUCAUGUAUUGGGCACGAUGCUUCUAUGAACCAGUCAUGUAUUGGGCACGAUGCUUCUAUCAACCAAGUCAUGUAUUGGGCACGAUGCUUCUAUCAACCAAGUCAUGUAUUGGGCACGAUGCUUCUAUGAACCAAGUCAUGUAUUGGGCACGAUGCUUCUAUAUACCAAGUCAUGUAUUGGGCACGAAACAGAGGAGGUGAGCUGCUUCUCCCUGGACCUGUCUAAACAGAGGAGGUGAGCUGCUUCUCCCUGGGCCUGUCUAAACAGAGGAGGUGAGCUGCUUCUCCCUGGGCCUGUCUAAACAGAGGAGGUGAGCUGCUUCUCCCUGGGCCUGUCUAAACAGAGGAGGUGAGCUGCUUCUCCCUGGGCCUGUCUAAACAGAGGAGGUGAGCUGCUUCUCCCUGGGCCUGUCUAAACAGAGGAGGUGAGCUGCUUCUCCCUGGGCCUGUCUAAACAGAGGAGGUGAGCUGCUUCUCCCUGGGCCUGUUUACAGGAGCAAUAGUCAGUCCACCACCAAAAGGCUUAGCAGGAGGCUGCCUGUUUACAGGUACAGUAGUCAGUCCACCACCAAAAGGCUUAGCAGGAGGCUGCCUGUUUACAGGUACAGUAGUCAGUCCACCACCAAAAGGCUUGGCAGGAGGCUGCCUGUUUACAGGUACAGUAGUCAGUCCACCACCAAUAGGCUUGGCAGGAGGCUGCCUGUUUACAGGAACAGUAGUCAGUCCACCACCAAUAGGCUUGGCAGGAGGCUGCCUGUUUACAGGAACAGUAGUCAGUCCACCACCAAUAGGCUUGGCAGGAGGCUGCCUGUUUACAGGUGCAGUAGUCAGUCUACCACCAAAAGGCUUGGCAGGAGGCUGCCUGUUUACAGGUGCAGUAGUCAGUCCACCACCAAUAGGCUUGGCAGGAGGCUGCCUGUUUACAGGAACAGUAGUCAGUCCACUUGCUUUGGCAAUGUUAACAUAUGUUUCCCAUGCCAAUAAAGCCCCUUGAAUUGAAUUGAUAGGGAAUAAGAGAGUGACAGAGAGAGAGAGAGAUAAAUCAUUUGUGUGGUUAAACAUUUA
rnacentral:lncRNA from 1 species